rnacentral:rRNA from 1 species
GACGAACGCUGGCGGCGUGCUUAACACAUGCAAGUCGAACGGAAAGGCCCUGCUUUUGUGGGGUGCUCGAGUGGCGAACGGGUGAGUAACACGUGAGUAACCUGCCCUUGACUUUGGGAUAACUUCAGGAAACUGGGGCUAAUACCGGAUAGGAGCUCCUGCUGCAUGGUGGGGGUUGGAAAGUUUCGGCGGUUGGGGAUGGACUCGCGGCUUAUCAGCUUGUUGGUGGGGUAGCGGCUUACCAAGGCUUUGACGGGUAGCCGGCCUGAGAGGGUGACCGGCCACAUUGGGACUGAGAUACGGCCCAGACUCCUACGGGAGGCAGCAGUGGGGAAUAUUGCACAAUGGGCGGAAGCCUGAUGUAGCAACGCCGCGUGCGGGAUGACGGCCUUCGGGUUGUAAACCGCUUUCGCCUGUGACGAAGCGUGAGUGACGGUAAUGGGUAAAGAAGCACCGGCUAACUACGUG